rnacentral:lncRNA from 1 species
UUCGGCCCACUACGACUGGUAACUUCACCGGUUGAAUGCAAGUAGUGAUGGUAACCGCCUCUACGCGACCAACCAAACAAUAUCUAUUUUUUGAAUUUCGGGUUCGUACGUGUAACCAAUCACCGUAUCCUCGCGGCCUGGUUCAACUGAAACUACAACCAAACACGACCCCUUUGCAUCCCCAGAACCUGGUUCCGGUCGGCCUGGUUCCCUGGUGCUAGCCAAGCUCCUCAAGGAAGAGAACCAAUCACACCCUUCAUCUCCAGCAGUAACGAGCCUGCCUGACCAGCUGACCUUACCCCUUCUUCGGCCUCUCUCUGCUUUGCGUUCUCACUCCCGUUGCCAAGCUGCCUACUCCAAUCCUCCAUCCUCUCC